ensembl:lncRNA
CCCCGCCUUCGCUAUGCUCCGCUACCCCGGGGUCGGAGGGCGUUCUGCGGCGAGGGGCCUGGGCACUGAGACAGCAGAAUUGUGGUGACCCAAACACACCUGGUUCCUUCUCAGUUUUGAUGCUUGUGGAGGCUUACGUUUUUUGAUUCAGAUCUUCUCACCACUGUCUCACCAGGUGUUGUGGAGAUAGUGUAAAAUAAGGAAGAAGGGCAAAAAAUAGUGCAGAUGAUUUGCUCUUGAACUCUUGACUUUCAGCAGCUGCAUUUUAAAACUACCGUUCCAUUUUGCUGCACUGGAAGAUCUCAGCACAAUUUUACCAGAAAAAAAUUGCACUAAGAAGCUUUUGAAGACAAAAUUUAUGUUUUUCACUUCAAAAUCAUAUAUACUAGGAAACUUUCUAAAUGGAUCCUAUGAAGAAUAUGGGAUGGGAAUUCAUAUAUUUUAACAGGAGCAGGCUUAUCUGACAGGGCAAAGUUUUUUUUCCCUCUCUUCUAUUGACAUAAGCCUUAAUCAUUCUAAAGUGGUUUUGAAACCUGACGACAGUGUGCUCUGGGGGAAAAUAAUUUUGUGGAAGGGAUAUGGGACACACUAUAAACUUCAGACUGCAUCUAAGUGGUUUCUGGGCACUAUGGAAGUGAAAUAAAUGUACAACAGCAGUCUCAUGGCUCUUUGCACCAUGUUAAGAAGAUUGCAUUCUUUAUCAUAUAUCUGUGGCUUCCUGCAUCCUUUUAAAAAGUUCCUUGUGAAGAACAGUUGCAUGGAAAUCACAGAAUUGCAAGGGUUGGAGAUCAUGGGCUUUAUGAAGGAAUUGAUGUUUAAGUAAUAGAAAUUAAAGUUACUUAAGGUCUUGAUAGUAUUGCUUUUACUGUGAUGAAGCCUUCUACGCUGCUUCCCCUCUUAAAGUCAUGAGAGACAUCAUGAACUCAUGUUUUCCUGUUGAGAGUGCUCUGUUACUGAUAUUCAAACGCAUCGCAUAGACUUCAGUCUAGAGGCUGGAUUGUCACACUCAGAGAGUCGCAGUCAUCGACUCAAUAUCCUAGUGGAGAAACAGAAGGUUUCUGGAAGUUUGUCAGGACCUAUUGAAGCAAUGUGAGACUGAAGAUGACAGUUUCCUGGAUCACAGCAAUGCUAGUGAUGCAAUGUGGUGUCACCACUAUGAGCCAGAAUCAGAACAGCAGUCCACGGAGAGAUGACGUGUGAAUUUCCCCAUCAAGGAAAAAGUUUAUGAAGCAACUUCAGCAGCUAAACUGAUAUGUGCUGUCUUUUGGGAUAGGAAGGGGUAAUCUUUCUGCAUUUCCUGGAACCUGGACAGACCAUCAACUCUCACCUCUACAUCCUGAAACUGACUAAGUUGAACACUUGGACUUCCAAAGUUUGAUCAGAUAAGAAGACAACCUUUUCUUGCAACAAUAUAGUGCCAGGCCCCAUUUGAAAACUGUGGAGCAUGUUGCCAGUCUUGACUGGACUGUCCUACCACAACCAACAUAUAGUUCUUCUGACUUCCAUCUGUUCAGGUUGAUGAAAAUGGACUGUAUGGGAAAUAUUUUCCUAGCAACAAUGCUGUCAUAGCAUCUGUGAAACAGUGGGUUACCUCCAUUGGUGCAUAUUUUUACAAGCGUGGCAUGCAGGUUCUUAUUCAUCACUGAUGAAAAUGCAGAGCUAAUGGUGGUGACUGUGUUGAAAAAUAGAUUUUUUUAGCUGAGAAUUUGCUCUAUCCAAUAGUGUUACUGUGCUUUCUGUAUCUGCUAUAGUUUCCAUGGAAAUAAAUAGGAGGAAUUAGUUUCUGAGUGACCUAUGUAUAUUCUACUUCAGUUAGUUUCCAUGUGAUCUGAAUCAUGCCUCAUGCUAUACAUGAAAGCAGAAAAACAUAAAGCUGAUAUGUUAAUGCUGGAUGUGGCUCUGGGCAGCCUGAUCUAGUAGUUGGCGACCCUGCCCGUGGCAGGGGGCUUGAAACUAGAUGACCUUUGAGGUCCUUUUCAACCCAGCCAUUCCAUGAUUCUAUGCUGUAAUGUGGAAAUUAAAAUGGUAAGUUGGAAUAUGGGAAAAUAGUUGAAGUAACUGUUUUUCCAAACAGAUGGUGGAGUGUUGCACAUCACUGAGACAGAACCAAUUUUGAUUUUUCUUUGGAAAGAAGUACAAGCUCACAUUAGGAAAGCAGCAUUACUAUAUAUUGGAAAACCACAGUUGAUAAAAAAAAAACCCUAACCAAAUUUAGCAGAUAAAAGGAUUACUGUACUAUAUAUCCUAACAAAGGUUAAUUAAGCUACUGAAAAUUCUACUCUUUGGCACUUCCAUUUUUGCUUAAACUUGACUGAUCUUAAAGCCAUUGUCCACAAAAAUAUUUUAUGAGGCACAUAUGAGAUUUCAAAAUAUAGGCUUUAUUAUGUUAGUAAGUGACUAUGAUAAUUUGCCUAAUAGUCUAGUUGCAUCACUGGCUGCUGCCAUUAUAAAAUCUUCAGUGAUGCUUAAAAAAAGCCUCGUGGUUUUGUAAGCAGUUUAUGACAGGCUGUUUGGAAAUCAUAAUAUUACUGAUGUCAUAAGCAACAGCUGUUUCCACAUUCAAGAGAAGUUAGAAUGACUCAGUAAAGUCAGGUGGGGAAACAGACGUCUAGUGAUUCUUACUAACAUGAAAUAUCAGCUUAGAGAUUAUUUCAGAACAUCACAUUGGAGUCCAGAUGGUUUGUGCAUCUUAAGAAAAAUAUAAGCAAAGAUAAAAAAAGAAGCUGAUUGAAAUUGUGUAGGUGUUCAGAAGUAGACAAAUGCAAAAAAGGAUUUCAUGUAAGUUUCACUCUUCUUUCAAGAAUGUCCUCUGGUAGUGCUUAUAUGAUCCUUUUAUUUCCUUUCCAAAACAAAAGAAACAAACAAACAAAACCAAAAAACAUGAAUUUCCUUUUACUUGCCCAAACAACUCUCCAAAAUCAAAGUUCAGUCCUCUAUGGAAAUACAUACCUCUGCUUUCUUACUGUUCAUGUGUAAGGGCAGUUUAUAUCCAUUAUAUAAAACAGUUAUCAAGAGCCUUAGAAAGAGCAUUUACAGUAUAGAAAAAAGUUUUUAGAGUUGUGUUUACAAGUUAUGCUUGCUAAAAUAGGGACAGGUGAAUUCUAGAGAACUGUUCAGACACUCUGGAUCUCACAGCUUCCUUAACCCUGGAAUUUUAAGGAUUUCAAAGUCUGUCCAUUUGAAUGCAGUCCUUUAUUGGCCUUGCUUCAGCGGCAGUCAGACGGAUUUGAUCUGCCCUGUGCUGAUUCUUCCUCCUUGCCAUCUUACAAUAUGCUGUUUUGUUCCCUGGGAAAAGCAAAGCAAUUGCUAACAGAUGAUUUGGCUUCAGGCUGCUUUUACCAUCUGUGGAAGAAGGGCAUAAUUUCAAAUGUUAAACAGCCUGACCAUAGCUACUAGUACUGUUGCACCUUGGCUACUGAAAACCUAGAGAAAUGUCAAAUUUCUUUCUUUUCUGCUACAUAGAUAUUUCUGGGUGAGAGCAGGCAGAUGUUUAGAGUAAGCUCAUUAGGGAAUAACCUGACUUCACUCAUAAGCUUCUGACAAGUUUGGGCCACUGAUGGUAAUUUCUGUAGCUGACCAGCAUCUGAGAUGCCUGACAGUGUGGUGAAGUAUGAUCUUUCAGGGAAAAAAUAUAAUCAUGUAUCACAAUUAACUAGCAAAAUCCAGGCUUUGAAUAUUGAAUACCUACUAGAGAUUGAUAAGUUCUAUAAAACCAUAUUCAAAACUUGAACAACACUUUCAUCAGUAAGAUAGUAUUUCAUGACAAAUCACACUGAAAAACUUCCAUUGUUUCCAAAAUGUAAAAAAAUAGAAUAAAACUGAAAUGAUAUCAUCAAGACAUGACAAAAAAAAAAUUCUAGAAGUUAAGAGGGCAACCCUGGCAAAUAAAUUUUUUAAUACAAAUUAGUUUGUCAAAAUGGUGAAUGUUAACAAUUAAGUACUACGUAAAGGUGAGAACCAUUAAAAUUACAUGUCCACAGUACAUAAAACUAGAACAAAGAAAAUUAUCCCCGUCUCUUUUGCUGCUCUUUGAAAAAGUUGAUAAAUAAAAGUGAUGCAACAUCAGUGAUUUAGCUGAUUUCAAUGUCUUUUCUCUGAACUAUAAAGAUGAAGUGUUAAAGAACAAGGCCCUGAAACCUGACUUAGAAAUGCAGGAGAAAAGAAAAAGAAUGGGCUACUAUAUAAAGUAAAAGCAGCAGAAUUCCUUGCUGGUUGUUACUUACUUAGGUUAGUUAUUUGUGUGUGAUUUAUAGAGGUGGAUAGCAACUCAGUGUUUAUUUGGUAAUGCAGAACUGCUUUUUAAGUGUAAGUCAUGGCAUAUUGUGAGAAGUGCCACAUUUAAUAUUUGUGACUGAAAUUCUCCACACAUCUGCUUAAAUUCUUCUGUUUUGUGAAAUAAAUUGAGUUAAGGAAUUGUAUGAUGAUUUUAGACUGCACUGUGCUUAAUUUUUUGUAGAGAUCCAUUCAGUGUUCUUUAAGAAAUCCAGUGAAACUACAGAGCGUUAUUCUUAGAACAAGUACAAUGAAAAAAAGAGAGUGAAAAAAAAAAAAAAAAAAACUUUGUUCAAAGCAAUUUUGUACAAAAUUUGCUCAUUUUGGUUACUAUUACUUUACAUAUUCCAUGCCUGGAAUGAGAAUUAAUGCUUGCUGUGUGAAUAAACUUGGCAUAUUUUUGCCAUUUAAAC